UACGGGGGGGGCAAGCGUUGUUCGGAAUUACUGGGCGUAAAGGGCUCGUAGGUUGCCAACUAAGUCAGACGUGAAAUCCCUCGGCUUAACCAGGGAACUGCGUCUGAUACUGGAUGGCUUGAGUUUGGGAGAGGGACGCGGAAUUCCAGGUGUAGCGGUGAAAUGCGUAGAUAUCUGGAGGAACACCGGUGGCGAAGGCGGCGUCCUGGACCAACACUGACACUGAGGAGCGAAAGCCAGGGGAGCAAACGGG
rnacentral:rRNA from 1 species